rnacentral:rRNA from 1 species
GAUGAACGCUGGCGGCGUGCCUAAUACAUGCAAGUCGAGCGAAUGGAUUAAGAGCUUGCUCUUAUGAAGUUAGCGGCGGACGGGUGAGUAACACGUGAGUAACCUGCCCAUAAGACUGGGAUAACUCCGGGAAACCGGGGCUAAUACCGGAUAACAUUUUGAACCGCAUGGUUCGAAAUUGAAAGGCGGCUUCGGCUGUCACUUAUGGAUGGACCCGCGUCGCAUUAGCUAGUUGGUGAGGUAACGGGUGACCAAGGCAACGAGGCGUAGCCGACCUGAGAGGGUGAUCGGCCACAGUGGAACUGAAACACGGCCCAGACUCCUACGGGAGGCAGCAGUAGGGAAUCUUCAGCAAUGGACGAAAGUCUGACGGAGCAACGCCGCGUGAGUGAUGAAGGCUUUCGGGUCGUAAAACUCUGUUGUUAGGGAAGAACAAGUGCUAGUUGAAUAAGCUGGCACCUUGACGGUACCUAACCAGAAAGCCACGGCUAACUACGUGCCAGCCGCCGCCGUAA